AACGAACGCUGGCGGCAUGCCUAACACAUGCAAGUCGAACGAGACCUUCGGGUCUAGUGGCGCACGGGUGCGUAACGCGUGGGAACCUGCCCUUAGGUUCGGAAUAACUCCCCGAAAGGGGUGCUAAUGCCGGAUAAUGUCUUCGGACCAAAGAUUUAUCGCCUUUGGAUGGGCCCGCGUUGGAUUAGCUAGUUGGUAGGGUAAAAGCCUACCAAGGCGACGAUCCAUAGCUGGUCUGAGAGGAUGAUCAGCCACACUGGGACUGAGACACGGCCCAGACUCCUACGGGAGGCAGCAGUGGGGAAUAUUGGACAAUGGGCGAAAGCCUGAUCCAGCAAUGCCGCGUGAGUGAUGAAGGCCUUAGGGUUGUAAAGCUCUUUUAACCGGGAUGAUAAUGACAGUACCGGGAGAAUAAGCUCCGGCUAACUCCGUG
rnacentral:rRNA from 1 species